AACCGCCGGUUUGAUAAUAGC
rnacentral:miRNA from 1 species